rnacentral:rRNA from 1 species
CAGUCGCCACGGUAAUACGUAGGGUGCGAGCGUUAAUCGGAAUUACUGGGCGUAAAGCGUGCGCAGGCGGUUAUAUAAGACAGAUGUGAAAUCCCCGGGCUCAACCUGGGACCUGCAUUUGUGACUGUAUAGCUAGAGUACGGUAGAGGGGGAUGGAAUUCCGCGUGUAGCAGUGAAAUGCGUAGAUAUGCGGAGGAACACCGAUGGCGAAGGCAAUCCCCUGGACCUGUACUGACGCUCAUGCACGAAAGCGUGGGGAGCAAACAGGAUUAGAUACCCGCGUAGUCCCUGUCUCUUAUAC